rnacentral:rRNA from 1 species
CCUACGGGAGGCAGCAGUGGGGAAUAUUGGACAAUGGGGGCAACCCUGAUCCAGCAAUUCUGUGUGCACGAAGACGGUUUUCGGAUUGUAAAGUGCUUUCAGCAGGGAAGAAGUAAGUGACGGUACCUGCAGAAGAAGCGACGGCUAAAUACGUGCCAGCAGCCGCGGUAAUACGUAUGUCGCGAGCGUUAUCCGGAAUUAUUGGGCAUAAAGGGCAUCUAGGCGGCCUGACAAGUCAGGGGUGAAAACCUGCGGCUCAACCGCAGGCCUGCCUUUGAAACUGACAGGCUGGAGUACCGGAGAGGUGGACGGAACUGCACGAGUAGAGGUGAAAUUCGUAGAUAUGUGCAGGAAUGCCGAUGAUGAAGAUAGUUCACUGGACGGUAACUGACGCUGAAGUGCGAAAGCCGGGGGAGCGAACAGGAUUAGAUACCCCAGUAGUC